rnacentral:piRNA from 1 species
UAAUUUGAUGAACCACACAUACCCAUAGGCCU